rnacentral:rRNA from 1 species
AUUGAACGCUGGCGGCAUGCCUUACACAUGCAAGUCGAACGGCAGCACGGGGGCAACCCUGGUGGCGAGUGGCGAACGGGUGAGUAAUACAUCGGAAUGUACCCAGUAGUGGGGGAUAACUAGUCGAAAGAUUAGCUAAUACCGCAUACGCACUAUGGUGGAAAGCGGGGGAUCGCAAGACCUCGCGCUAUUGGAGCAGCCGAUGUCCGAUUAGGUAGUUGGUGGGGUAAAAGCCUACCAAGCCUGCGAUCGGUAACUGGUCUGAGAGGACGACCAGUCACACUGGGACUGAGACACGGCCCAGACUCCUACGGGAGGCAGCAGUGGGGAAUUUUGGACAAUGGGGGCAACCCUGAUCCAGCCAUGCCGCGUGAGUGAAGAAGGCCUUCGGGUUGUAAAGCUCUUUCGGCCGGGUAACGGAAAUACGCAUGGGCUAAUACCCUGUGCGGAUGACGGUACCGGCGACUAAGAAGCACCGGCUAACUACGUGCCAGCAGCCGCGGUAACG